AUAAACUAUAAAAUAUAUUUUUUAUACUAGUCAAUUCCUUAUAUUACCGCCUUAUCAAAAGUGUGGCUUUGGAAGAAAACUGCUGCAGGGCAUCUAUGACGACUGCCUAUCCAAUAAGGAAGUUGUUGAGGUUACAGUUGAAGAUGCAUCACUUGAAUUUCAAAACCUUCGCGAUCUAGUUGAUUUGAUAAAUUUUGAUAGGCAGUGCAAAGAUAUCUCCAUCCCUUUAAAAUUUACUGGUGAAUUUAUGAAAGCCGUUCAAAGGAAGUUAAAAAUAAAUAAAAAUCAAAUAAGAAAAAUAUACGAUAUUAUCAAACUGAAGGAAACUAAUCGAAGCGAUAAAGAAUGCUAUAAAAAUUAUCGAUUGAUGGUUAAAAGAAAGAUUUAUUAUAAUUAUAAGUCUCAUUUGGAAACUCUAAAUAAAGAAGAAAAGCUGUUUCUAUUAGAUCAACUUUAUAAAGAGCUUGAGAGUUAUUAUCAAAGUCUUCUUGAACGAUUUUCUCGGGCGUGAGCGGCACUUCCGUUAUAACUUUUUUAAAAAUA